CUGCUUCACAGCGGCUGCGAACCACUCCAGUGAGAUAUGGAGAUCACGGCUUGAAGAAGCCAACAGCACCACAUCAUCUGCAAAAAGUAGAGAUGCAAUGCUGAGGUCACCAAACCGGCCACCUUCAAUGCCUCGGUCGCGCCUAAAUAUUUUGUCCAUAAAGGUUAUGAACAGAAUCGAUGACAAAGGGGAGCCUUGACGGAGUUCAACCCUCACCGGAAACAAAUCCGACUUACUGCUGGAAAUGCAGACCAAACUCUGACAUCGGUGAUACAGGGACAGAACAGCCCUUAUCAGUGGGGAUGGUACCCCGGACUCUCAGAGUACCC